rnacentral:SRP_RNA from 1 species
GAGAGAUCGUCUGCGGACGAGCCCCUCGUCCAUUGGGUCAGAUCCGGAAGGAAGCAGCCCAGGCGGGAUUUGGCACGGGUCGCCGGUUGGUCUCUCACC